GGGGCAGCGUUCCCCUUUUUCCUGGCUUUUCAGGGAGAGCAGCAAGAGAAAGAAAGAAGCAAACGAAAUUCCUGAAUGGAUAAGAGAUGCUACGUCAGCGGUACUGGAGCCGCAUCCUCCACUCCACGAGAAGAGAAGAGCUAGGAGAGACCAGCGGGCGGUAGCUGCGGCGAGUGGCCUCUCCGUGCGGCACAGAGGCAAGAAGCAGCCAUCCAUCCAGAAGCAGCCUCCGUGUUCCGUUUGUCCGGAUGUCAUCGUAGGUGGCCGGCAUCUCUGGCUUUGGGGCAGACAUCCUGCACUACAUUCCAGAUCUGAUGAGGCAUGGCUGCCCCAGGAUUACUGGGCUCGGACGGGAGCAGUGGUAGGAAGGAUCCUAUAUAAGUCAUGUGAGACAUAGAAUGUUCAGAUCAACUGAAGCUGAAACAAGCCUUUGGCAUCAUAUAUAACCCAGAAAGGGACAAAGCUGGUUCCUUGAAUGCUUGGUUUAUGUGCCUGGCUGGAGGAGACACCCAUGGCCUUGCAGAGGGAGCGUUCUGGUGGGAAAGCAGACACAACCCACCCUAGGCCCGUGGUUUCCCUGCAAGAAGCCCAGUGGCUUUCUGGAGGACACUUUUCCUGGAGGAAGUGACUCAAGAGCAGCAUAAGCCAGGCUCUAUGGAAUGUUGGGUGAGCUGCUUGAGGAACUCCAAGGCCUGUCCCACAGUCUUCCAGCCUCCGACUCUCCGGCCCUCAGCGAGGAAGUCCCACUGGUUUUUUUGGUUGGUUUUUUUUUUUUUUUUUAAGGUUUUUUGGUUUUUUUUUUUUUUUCUCAUUCCUGUCUUGGGAGCUUUCCCCAACCAGGAGAGUGAAGAUGGGCGGAGCUGUCACACCAACUGUUAGCCUGCCUUGGCUGAGAGGAGAGGAGGCGAGGAGGGAGCGACCACCCAGCUUUAGUCGUUUUAAAACAGCUCCUGACCCUAGAAGAAGGGAAAUGGAGAUGAAGACCCAAUUGACUUGGCUUCCCUCCCUCCCAGUGCUGAUUUCCUGUGGACCAGAUUCCAGCACAGUGGAGGGCCAGAGCUCAGGGAACAGACCCAGCAGCACAGCAAGUCUCCAAGGAAAGCUCUAGCAGUCUCCAGGGGCUGAAGGCAGGACUGGGGAAGCGGCUAGCCAGGCUGCAGAAGGCAAAUGCUCCCAGACGGCUGUCCAGCACGCAUCCGCCUUCCUAGCCAAGUUUCCUGGGCUCCUGCCACAGAUCUAAGCCUCAUCCUGACAUCCUGCCCUCUGUGCUCUGGGAUGGCCCAGGGGAGAUGCUUAGCCUUGGCUCCUUGUCUGCUGGUGGAGGGGACACACACCCUUUCUGGACCACAGACCAAAAAGAAGACCUGACGUCAUCCUGAGCACCCCCGCCAUGCAGAGUGUGUUCGCAGACUGCCAACGGGCUGGCUCCGGCCAGCAGAAGUGAACAGAGGUGGAGGUUCAGCCUGACAGCUUCUCCCCAAAGCCAUGGAGAGAAAACCUUACCACCCCCACCGCCCAGCUACUUCCAGCAAGUUGUCCAGCCUGACCCCUCUAUUUCCCCUGUUGUCUCUUAUCUGGGUCCCUGAGACCCACCCCAUCUCCAAUAAAGAACAUUGCAUACUG
rnacentral:lncRNA from 1 species